CAGACCUGUGGACCCGUCUCAGACUAGAGGUAUCAGGAGAGAGAGAGUUACUGAAGGACCGGUCCAGGUGCUGCACCAACAGACACAUCGACGUCACCGACCGGAGUGAUGGAGCCAACAUGAGAGUCUUACUCCUGGAGCAGCAGGUGGCGCUGUAGUGCUCCGGAUUCCUCAGCAGGUGAUCGGCCAUCUGAUCUGCAGCCUGAGGCCUGAAGUGGCACUGAGAGCACUGCAGCAGGAACACACUGAAACAACAACGUCAGAGAUGCAGUAACUGUGGCACUAAAUGUGUUUCUCACCCCUCCCCUACGGAAAAAUAUAUAACUUCAACCGUAAAUCCACAGUUACACCACAAAACGCUAGUUAGCGACUGUACUGAGUUUCUUCUUCUUUGUUGGUGUCUGCUGCUACAACGAGCAGAUCAGUUACUUUUAGUGAAAUCACUAAGUAGGGCCUCGGGCUUCAGGCUUCAGGAGUAGGGCCUCAGGCUUCAGGAGUAGGGCCUCGGGCUUCAGGAGUAGGGCCUCGGGCUUCAGGAGUAGGGCCUCGGGCCUCGGGCUUCAGGAGUAGGGCCUCGGGCCUCGGGCUUCAGGAGUAGGGCCUCGGGCUUCAGGAGUAGGGCCUCGGGCCUCAGGCUUCAGGAGUAGGGCCUCGGGCCUCAGGCUUCAGGAGUAGGGCCUCGGGCUUCAGGAGUAGGGCCUCGGGCCUCAGGCUUCAGGAGUAGGGCCUCGAGCCUCAGGCUUCAGGAGUAGGGCCUCAGGCCUCAGGCUUCAGGAGUAGGGCCUCGGGCCUCAGGCUUCAGGAGUAGGGCCUCGGGCUUCAGGAGUAGGGCCUCGGGCCUCAGGCUUCAGGAGUACGGCCUCGGGCCUCAGGCUUCAGGAGUAGGGCCUCGGGCUUCAGGAGUAGGGCCUCGGGCUUCAGGAGUAGGGCCUCGGGCUUCAGGAGUAGGGCCUCGGGCCUCAGGCUUCAGGAGUAGGGCCUCAGGCUUCAGGAGUAGGGCCUCGGGCUUCAGGAGUAGGGCCUCGGGCCUCAGGCUUCAGGAGUAGGGCCUCGGGCUUCAGGAGUAGGGCCUCGGGCUUCAGGAGUAGGGCCUCGGGCCUCAGGCUUCAGGAGUAGGGCCUCAGGCUUCAGGAGUAGGGCCUCGGGCCUCAGGCUUCAGGAGUAGGGCCUCGGGCUUCAGGAGUAGGGCCUCGGGCUUCAGGAGUAGGGCCUCGGGCCUCAGGCUUCAGGAGUAGGGCCUCAGGCUUCAGGAGUAGGGCCUCGGGCCUCAGGCUUCAGGAGUAGGGCCUCGGGCUUCAGGAGUAGGGCCUCGGGCUUCAGGAGUAGGGCCUCGGGCCUCAGGCUUCAGGAGUAGGGCCUCGGGCUUCAGGAGUAGGGCCUCAGGCUUCAGGUGUGGGGCCUUGGGCCUCGGGCUUCAGGAGUAGGGCCUCAGGGCUUCGGGAGUGGGGCCUCAGGGCUUCGGGCUUCAGGAGUAGGGCCUCAGGGCUUCAGGAGUAGGGCCUCAGGGCUUCGGGCUUCAGGAGUAGGGCCUCAGGGCUUCAGGAGUAGGGCCUCGGGCUUCAGGAGUAGGGCCUCAGGGCUUCAGGAGUAGGGCCUCAGGGCUUCGGGAGUAGGGCCUCAGGGCUUCGGGAGUGGGGCCUCAGGGCUUCGGGCUUCAGGAGUAGGGCCUCAGGGCUUCAGGAGUAGGGCCUCGGGCCUCGGGCUUCAGGAGUAGGGCCUCGGGCUUCAGGAGUAGGGCCUCGGGCUUCAGGAGUAGGGCCUCAGGCUUCAGGAGUAGGGCCUCGGGCUUCAGGAGUAGGGCCUCGGGCCUCGGGCUUCAGGAGUAGGGCCUCGGGCUUCAGGAGUAGGGCCUCAGGCUUCAGGAGUAGGGCCUCAGGGCUUCAGGAGUAGGGCCUCGGGCCUCAGGCUUCAGGAGUAGGGCCUCAGGCUUCAGGAGUAGGGCCUCGGGCCUCAGGCUUCAGGAGUAGGGCCUCAGGCUUCAGGAGUAGGGCCUCAGGGCUUCAGGAGUAGAGCCUCAGGGCCUCAGGCUUCAGGAGUAGGGCCUCGGGCUUCAGGAGUAGGGCCUCAGGCUUCAGGAGUAGUGACUGACCCGGCUCAGUCUGCUGUGACCCGGCCUUUCACUGGUUCUGUUCUGAAUUUAACAAACAGCUCAACACGAGUGAGUCAAGAGAGAAAACUCAGCAGAGUGUGGUUCUGACACCAUUUAGCAGUCAGAGGAGUUUCAGUGAUGCAGAGCGACACCUACAGGUCAGACAGAGCAACUGCAGCACUCUGCUCUACAUCGACAGCUCCUACAAACAUCAAACCCUGAUCACCAGUGAGUGUGUACAGCUGUGAGUCUGUGUGUGUCGGCCCAGAGGGCUGUGAUCAGUGAUCAGUGAU